CUCUGAGCUGUCAGCACAGACCCCAACGUGGGGCUCAAACUCACAAACUGCAAGAUCAUGACCUGAGCCAAAGUCGGACGCUUAACUGACUGAGCCACCCAGGUGCCCAAGGUCGCCCAACAUAUAAGUGGUAGAGCUGCCUACCUCUUCUCAGUGAACAUGCUGCCUCACAAAGUACAUGGCAGUCAGCCCCCCAAAUGUAUAUGGAGAUCACCAAGUAUAGAUAUUUACUAGGCACCUGUUACAUGGCAGGAAAUAUUUCAAGAGCUGGCCACCAGUCCUUGCCUUCGAGGACAAGUGGAGAGAAGCAGGUUUUAUUUUAGAGAGAGUUAGGACAGGGGGAGGAUGUGCUCUUGGCUGUAACAGAGGUCACUGGCGUACAAGGGGCACCAAGGUGGGGGCGGGGGAAUGGAAAAGCUUCCCAGAAGACAGGAUGGCUGAGUCAUAAGGCUGAUAGGACAAGAGGCAAGGGGGCAUAGUCCGAGCCCCAGAAACCCACUUUUGCUUCUCCACACUGUCUUCUAGUACCUGGCUCAACCCCGACUAUAAAAAAUGGUGCAUUAACUUUAUGAACUUCUGACAAUUUGUUUUGAGGUUGGGGAAGAACAUGGGGCUGAAGGAAGGCUGAGUCAUCUGCUAGGAAACCCCUUCCAGCCCUCCCAGCACAAGGGGGUCACCUGUGUCCCCAUGGAAACCUCGUGUCCUCAUGGAACACCUUCUGUCAGCCUGUGCUCCCAUGUUCCCACCAUGUCCUCUGCAAAGCUGACUUAGCACUCCACGCAUGAACUGUACCUCCUGUUUACGUGUCUGCCCUUGCACUUCUGUUUCUUUGUAAGCCCCUCCGAGGAUGGGGCCCACACUGCAUCUACAAGGGUCUGCUCUCAGAGGGUGCUUGCUGAACUGAACUGCCCUGAGCAGACCAAACCAGAUUUUCCAGAUGAAGCCACUUUGUUUGCUCCUGUGUCUAGUCAGCCAGCCGGGAUCACAUUCACCUUUAUGUCCAGAACAGGCCCUGGCAACUUGGACAGCACGAAUAGGCCACAGUUCAUCCUAACCACCAAGAAUUCUUUCUGUUGGAUCGUGAAGCACAUGAAAACCUCUCAAACCUGGCCUCUGCUGAGGCAUACUUGGUGCUUCUGUCCUGCUGCCCUGGGGAAUCGACAACACAAAUUUAACAGGAACCAAGAGCAUUCAGACUGGCCUAUCUGCAAAUGGCAGGGCUGUGGGCUAAGCAUCCAGAGGGAUGACCACUGACCGCCCUGGCCUGCUGAAAUUGGCUUUGGGACUUCCCGACCAAGUCGGCUUCAGGGUAACAGCCUACCUGUGAAGUGGGGCCUAGGGAGGGGAACCCAUAAGAAGGCGAGGUGAGCCCUAGCAAAGAUAUUCAAACCACAGAACAUCGUUCACACUCCAGAACCAGAAGCUCCAGGGUGGGAACACGUCUUGAAGACUAGAUAGCAUCCUAGAGUACCUUCCUAAGAAUGAGAAGUAAGCUUUUUGAAUUUGCAUCUGUAAAGGAGGUCCUGCUGCUUCCUUGUAAUUGAAGAAUCAGAGAGGAGCGCCCCCUCCCCUUUCCAGGGAGACAUCUGCAAAUAAAACUCAAAUGAAAUCACUCUGUGUCUCCCCCGGCAUGUAGACUGCAAGCUUCUCCCUUGCGGGUGUCCAUUAUCCGGACUGAAGGCUCCAUGAAAGCAGGAACCUUGCCUGUCAUCUCUGUGGUACUGCAGACCCGAACACAAUGCCUGACACACGAGAAGAAAAGCCAUGUGAGGACAUAGUGAAAAUGUAGCCCUCUGUAAGUCAGGAAGACAAGACUUGCCAGAAACCAACACCGAUGGCACCUUGAUCUUGGACUUCCAGUCUCCAGAACUCUCCCUCCCACCCGGAUGCAAGAUUUAACCAUGUGAUCUGCUUUAGCUAAUGGGAUGUUAGAAGACGUGACAUAAGCAGAGGUUUGAAAAGCACCUGUGGGUUUCUACUCAUCCUUCCCUGUGCCGUCACCACAAGAACAUGCCUGUGGAACAGAGCCAAAGAUCCCAACUGUCCCAAGGCCAUCCUAGAUCAGCAAUACCUGACCGACUCUCAGUCAUAUGAAAGAGAGAGCCCAGUCCCUCUCAGCAGAGCCAGUUAGGUGACCUAUAGCUAACCACAGUCACAUGAGGACGCACAGACAGGAGCAGCUAAGCUCAGAUCAGCUGGACCCCACAGACUUGGAGCUAAGUCAGUGCUUACCAUUGUAUGCGACUGUGGUUUUGAGGGUUUGGUUAAGCAUCACUCUAUCUGAUGAAGGGACCUGCCUUGUGUGACCUCCUGUGUCCCCUCCUUGGAAUGGCACGUGAAACAGGGUUACCUCAACCACUUUAUAAAUGAGCACCCUGUGAUUCAUACAGGUUAAGUGGAUUGACUUUAUUUCCACAGCUUCUUCUGAUCCCUGGUUCUCUGCUCAGGCUCCAGUCCUGCCUCUCUGAAAUCCUUAACCAACAGCAUUAACCCAGAGGCUGAAUCCAUUUUUUCUUUGGAUCAAAGCGGCAGUUUUUAUAGUUUGAAAGCACAGAGGGAGAGCAGAUGUUUCAGAAGUCCUUGGGCCCAAAAGGCAGAAGCUGCAGAAACAUUUGGCUCUACAGCCAUCCCUGCCCCCAACGCUGGGACACCCCCCUCCUUCCCAGGAUUCCACUCGGCUUUGAAGAGAUACACGAUGCAGGACAUUGCCAUCUCUCUGUGGCUGAUUCCAUUCAGAGGCAGAGGCAUUCUUCAGAUGCUUCACAGAGAUCCCUGCCAGGUAGGGAAGCCACCGGAGAGUUGUGGAGAAAUGAUCAAGAAUAAUCUUUUUGACCUUGCAACACUCACCUUAAAAAUCUACCCUCGCUCCCAAUCUCCCCCAACUAACAUCCAAACUCAUAUAAGAUCCUUUAUAACCUAGACCAAGCUAUAAUUUGAGCAUCACCACUGCCUCCCACUUCCCUCCCCAAACUUCUGUUUCAGAAUCAGAAAUGCCCUGCUCUUUUUGGGCAAGUGACCCAAGACCACACAUGUAGGGAGUGGCAGCACUGGGCUUCGAACCCAGGCAGGCUAGCUCCACAGUCCAUGAUCUACGACUCAGGCAGCAUUUUGAACUUUUGCCUCUGCUUAUACUUCCCGAUCUGUUCUGAAUGAGCUUUUCUUUUUUUUUUUCAUUUGCUGAACCUCUAUUCUUUCCUAUAAGAUCACACUCACUUCUUUAAAUACUUUAAAGACCUACUCACUUUGUGUGUUCAUUCAUGCGUGUGUUUUAUCUGCCUGAGGCUAGGAAGUGUCGGAAGGCCCUGCUGCUAAAGCUUUAUGGCAGCCAGUUUCAUGCAGAGCCUCAGAAAUCACAGGGAAAUAGUAGACUUUGUUCUAUUUUUAGUUGCUCCCAGGUUAAGGGUGAAAUAUGAUGGCCCCUAACACUGUAGGCUUCAUAUGUUCAGAGGGAAGGAUAGGAUUCCUCCCUUUUAGGAACAGGUAAUUCUAUUUUUUUAAAUGCUUAUUUACUUAUUUUUGAGAGGGAGAGAGAGAACCCCAAGCAGGCACCAUGCUGAGCUCUGAGCCCAGCGCUGUGCUCCCUCUCACAAACUGUGAUAUUACGCUGAAAUGAAGAGUUGGACCCUUAACUGGCUGAGCCACCCAGGCGCCCCUAGAAACAGGUAAUUCCAAAUAGACCCAUUUACAUUAUGUGUGUCUUAAACACCUGCUCACCCAGGAGACUUCACAGGAAAGAUAAAUCCCCGAUUCCUCUAGCCUGUAAAAGUACCAGUCACACUGAUUGGAACUGCCUCUUUUCGCUGGUCUACUCUUACUUGCUGUGCGCUCAUCAAAAAGUAGAUGGCCAGUUUUGUUUAUCUUUGUAUUUCCUUUCUAUCCUUCAUCUUCCUCACCCCCAUUAUUCCUGGCAUAUAUUACAAGCUCAAUGCUUACUUGCAGAAAAGUAAAAACUAAACCAUGAUAUUAGGCAGUAGACCCCCAGGGGUUCUUCUAAGAACUUCUUUACUUCUUCUAAGAAGUAAAACAGGGGCACCUGGGUGGCUCAAUCAGUUAAGCAUCCAACUUCACAGGUACACGAGUUUGAGCCCC